rnacentral:pre_miRNA from 1 species
UUCAUCUUGGCACUGGGAGAAUUCACAGUCGAUUACAUAAUAUUCUGUGGUUCUGCGGGUGCCAAAAUGUA